AAGCCCCCUUUUCAGCGCUAAUCUGAUGGCUGAGAUCACUUCUUUCACUGAAUAUACUCUUCAGUUACAAAAUCCCAUUAACACCACCAUAAAUUAGGGAUUUUUUCACCAGUUCUCCUCCCAUUUUUGCAAGUUACAAAAACCAUUAUUUGCAACAUUCAUUCCCUUCGAUUCACAACCGGACAAUCAAUUUCUUACGUUACAUUACAACAUGAACCUCUUGAAAUGUUCGAAUAUAUAGACCUCUAGACGGGUUAUCAUCUUCCUAGGCUCCAAUUCCUUCUUCAGCGUACUCUCCCAAGAAUACUAGACAUUGCACACAGUUAAACAGGUUCACCGAAGAACUGAAAUUGCUCAUCUCGAUUUCAAGCGAUGCAAGCAUGGAUCCUUCAAAAUGUAACAUAUAUGCUCUCCAAAGUGACAUGUUGUUGUCUAAUUUGCUGAAAGACAUAAUGUCGGUUGAGCUGAAAGGAAUUGCAAGCGAAAGGGUUUGCUGUCUUUCUGCCCUAGAUAUCGAGGUCCAGAAAUUGGUUGGUGCCAUAGCUUCCGAUGCAUUGGAGUUUUUUGGUACUGCAAGGACAAGUAAAAGUCAAAGUGCAGUCCGCCUUCAAUGUUAUCAUGCAUUGAGAAACUGGGCGUUUAACAUGAAGAAACUGAUGCCUCCUACCUUUAAAGUUACCUGCAUAUCGUGCGGUCAAUCAAUCUGCAUUUUCCACAAAAUGUGUUACGGAUAGCAUGACAAUCGAACCCAAUGAGUAUUUGGCUGAUGAGAUGGUGAAAGACGAAACCCAUUGGUGUGAACUCUGUCAAUGAGAAUUGCUAUCCAAAAUGUCACCUUACAGUGUUAUCGGAUUCGAUGCAUUGCCAAAUUGGAGAUUAGAUAGCUUUAGUAGUAUUAUAUUUUCUCUGUCUACUUUGUAGUGGUAUUGCGUCAGUUUUUUCUUUUCAUGAAAAUCGCAUUUGGUUGUCUUAUUUUGUGUCUUCUUUUUUUGGUUUCAUGGUGAUCCAAUCCACGGUUUGAAAAACGGGUCACUGCUCAAGUCACGGUCACUGGGUGUGAUCGUUAUAACGCGUUUUGACGGGUGUGAACACAUUUCGAACA